UUCUGUAAAGAGGAUGGCUUGGUUGGGCAGGCAGCAGGCUGGCAUCUCUAACCUGAACCUCCAGCCCACACCUCCCUUGAAUUCUAGAAGCAAUAUAUAAAUGUCCCCCACAUGUCCCUGCUCCCCACCUGCCGAAAUCCUCUAUCUGAAAACUCCUCUUUCUUGAAUUGAACUCUUCACGCUCCUUGUUCCUCCACCUCCAUCUUGGUGAAUUUCCAAACCAGAUACCCCGGAACCAUUCUCAAACCAUUCCUUCCCAAUCACCCUCGACACCUACAAUCUGUCAUCUAGUUUCUAGUAUCUCGGUAGUCUCCACUACUACCUCUGGUCCAGGCCCUCAUGUUUUCUCCUACAAUUCCUCUCCUGACCUGAAUGGCCCCUCUGUCUCCAGAUCCUUCAUUCCAUUCUCUCAGCACCUAGAAUUUUGCAGAUUUGACCAUUUCUACUUUAACAUUUCAAUGUUUCCCUCAGAAUACAGCUCUAUCAAACUUCUUGGAAGCUGAACAGGGACUCCUUGGCCUAGCCCCGGCCCAUAUCCCUCAGUACCCCGCCGCACGUGAUGCUCCAUCCAAACCAAACUGAAGCUUCCCACACCCAGCACCAUUUUCCACGCCCCUGGCCUCUGGCAGUACUUCCUGCUUCCUCUGGCCCACCCCACCUCCUGCCAGCCCCACCGUGGGUGGCUGGUUUCCCGUGCUCUCUGGCACCCUGCAGCGGACCGCACCACAGCAGUGCAACUGCAAACAUCCCUGUCUCCCGGGCAAGAUGCAGUCUCCCAACCGCAGGCUGCUCACGCCACCAGUACUGACCACGGACAUUAGCCCACAGUGGGCACGGGAGUGUGAGUAAAUGUCUGUUGACCCAAAAGCCAGUCUCACCCCCAGAGUAUGAGGUGUGGAGACUGCACAAGUCCCACAGAAUCCAAGUCCUGGGCCACAGGCCCGCCCUACCUCAAGGGCUCCUUGUUGUUCCUUCCGGGGCACAUGAGAUGCCCUGAGGGCCCUCACUUGCUGUUCAAGCUCUGCCCAUGAAAGUCCCUGUAACUUCUGGAAGGCUCUUUGGGUUGCGGUCCUGAACAGUGAAGAGCUAGGACUAGCUGAAGGAGUGGGGUGAUCCCUCCUACCCCUUCUGAAACAACUGAACAGAACCUAGAGGAACUCACAGAAGAAGAAUGCUGCCUGGAGGAGCAGAAAAGAUGCUGCUAGAGAUGGGCCUUAGGGAAUAAUAAUGAUGAUAACACAAAUAAAAGAGCCAAAAUUUAUUAAGCGCUUACUAAAUGCCAGCGAUUGUACUGAGGGAUUGAAAAUUAUUAUUUUAUUUACACCUCACAAAAACCCCAUGAGGAGAUUGUAAUAUUCCCAUUUUAUAUAUGAAGAAACUAAAGCAGCAGAGGAACAUGAAGCAGCUUGCCUAUGGUUCACACAGAGUGGGGGAGCUGGGAUUCAAACCCGAGACUGCUGCUGUGAUCCAUCGAUCACUCUGUGACUAACAUUACAACACUGACAAUAUCCAGGAGGAGCAGGGUCUCUCGGCCCAGGGACCGGGACCGGGACUGGGAGAACAAAGGCCAAGAGGUCCACGUGGCCGUAAGGCUCACCCAUGGGUAAGUGUUAACGUGGGGAAAGUGGGGGAAGACUUUGGAGUCCACAAUCUGAAAGUGAAGCUGAUCUCACAGGCAACGGAAAGCUGCUGGGCCCACCGGAGGAGGGUGGUAAGAGGGACCAGUCUGAGGGGAAUCGUAAGUGUGGCGCUGUGGGGGCAGAGACGUUCUCCAAGGAUGGCCUGUUCGGCCGGCUUGGAACAGACAACUGCCGCAGAAAGCCCAAAAGCUUACAGGUGGUAUUGGCGUUAAGUGAUAUGAGGAGGUAUGGGGAGGAUGGUGGAUAACAUUCCAUGGGCAGCAACAGACUUUGAUCUCUAACCUUUCUCUCUUAGGGCACCAACAGCAACAAAGAAGAGGAAGUCUUGGUGUUGUGUCCUUGUGUCAGGGAUGCCCUCAAUCUAUUACUCCAUGGGUCCACAACUCCCUCUACCCUGCCUCUAUCCAUGGAAGCUGCAAAGGGAAUGACUCCGGCUCCUCUGACACUGGCUGAUGCUGCAAGUGUCCACUCAACUUUCCAGAUCUGGAAAGCCCCUUCAUCAGCCCCUUGACCCAUACACACGCCAGCACAGCUCUUCCCCUGGCGCUCUGCCCAAUGCCACAUGUGCCAUUCUCAUCUGGACUGUUGGUGAAUUUCUGCCAAGGAGACAAGGUAGCUGUGCUCCCUUUCUCUCUAAGGACCAGGCUAGGCAUCUGCCUGGUCCUAUGUAGUUAUUUCAAAAAUUGGGACCCUGAGGCCUGGACGGGGGACAAAGGCCCAGAGCAGAGCACUCUCAAACUCUGUAUCAGAGGAAUUAGAGCUAGAAAGGCAAAAAGGAUGGGGCCAGGAGAGGAUGAAGCCAUCUCCCCCAUCAUCUCCAAAAGCUCUAUAGGCCACAUCCGACUGAAGAGCCCACCUUACUGUGGACUUGCUCGGCAAACACCUGGUUGUUCUCUCUGCUCUGGUACAAUACCUGGUUCUCCAGUCCCUGACCCAGACUACUUGUGAGUUAUUCCUGACACCCUCUGGGGCAUGGGGUAGAGAAUUUCCUGGAAGCAGCCAUGGCAUCCUGCUUCCCCUGGGUUGUGAAAAAGAUCUAGGGCGGGAACCCACGUUGUGUGUACCAGGAAGUCAUGGGGACUGAAGGUCUCAAUCUUGGUGGGGCCAGACCCGGUGGAGAUCUCCACAUAUGACUCAUCCCAGAGAACCUCGCCUACUGGUGCCUGUGCUCAUACAGGUGGGACAGAAGUCCCAACUUACCCAGCUUUGGGUGGGUAGUACCUUCAUGGAUGGCCACUGGCUCUGGCCCCCACCUCCCCCUCGGGCGCCAUCCCUGAUUAAUGAUCUUGUCUUUCUGAUUUAUGAGCAGCCCCUCCAGACAAGGGUGGGCGCCCCUUACGGCCCCGCCCGCCCCGCUCAGCUGGAGUAGGAGAGAAUUAUUAAAUAAACAUCCAUACGUCAUUCCCCCCCCCACAAGCUGGUUGCGCCGAACCCGUGCGGCCCGCUCCAGCACUGACACGGAGCAGCUGCGGUGAUUCAUGGGCAGCCGGGCCCCGAGCCGCGGCCCAUACAUCAUGCCAGCAGCACUCGCGGCCCCGGCCGAGAUAAACUGAUCAACCACAACGGGCUGGAAUGAAUUUAUGACAACACAAAAUGGAGGGAAACAAAUGGGAGGUGACCCUGGGCCACCGACCCAGCCCUGCACCGGCCUGCAAUCCACUCUCCUGGCAGGAGGCAAGAUGGAACACUGGCCCUGGAAUGAAGAGGCUGCCUUUUAACCCCAGGCAACCUAGCCUCCAGCAGAGAGAGGGGUGGGGUGCGGAGAAGUAAGCAGUGGCCAAGAGCAGCAACUCCAGGCAGCUAGAGCCGGACAGUGCCACUUCUAGGUGCCAGAACUGGCCUUGCUUGGGCUUCUGGAAAGGCGAGAACCCAGGCCAAAAAUUCCUUACCAGCAGUGAUGAGACCCAAUGCUCCUGCCUAAAAUCCACUGCAAGCGCCACCCGGGACAAGAAAAAUGAAACCAAUUUAGCUCCCGAUUAAGAAACAGAAACUGGAGAUGAAUCAAGUGCGCUGGCUGGGCUGGGCGGCCAUACAUCACAUUCCCGGGCGGAGGCCGCCGCAGCGGGCAGGCAGGCGGGCGGACUGCUCCUCCCUCCGCCAGGACUCCCAGGGCAGUGGCCCAGCGAUCAAUUCACAAAGUCACGCUUAGCACCAGCUGGGCCCCACUGCUGUCGUGUGCCCAGGACCGCAGGACUAAGCCAUGCUCUGGAGGGCCAAGAGUCCUGGCAGAAGGCCUUCCUGCUAACAGAGAGCCCCCCUCUCUCCCCUCCCUGAACUGCCAUCCCAGGGGCCCCUCUCCUGGUCAGACACUCACUUCUCGAUGUCACUAUUCUUGCAGGUCUUCUGCAUGGCCUCCUGCUUGCUGCUCUCACCGUUGCUGGUAGAUGGCAUCUCUGCUGGGAUAGAGGGGCAACUCAUAUUCUGGCCAGACUGGGCAGCACAGCCCCAUCUUGUCCCACAGUGCUCCAAGGAUACUGCGGCUUCCCAUAUUCCAGAGUGUCAUCCCCAUCCACAUCCAGGUCAGCGUCGCUGUCCGGAUUCUCUUUGCCGCUGCACAUGACGAAGCCAGAGCCUGUGGGAAGCAAGACAUGAGUAGGACCGGGGCGAACGAGACUACACCAAGCGUGCCCCUUCUGAUGCCUCUAGGUAAGGCUUAAGUUUGGAGCCAGAACAAACGCCUGCUUAUUCUGCAAGUCUGACCUAGCUCAGCCAUGCCUCCUGCUAAGAACUCACAGUGCCUAUGCACACAGUUGCUCCAGAAAUAUCCCAACAUUCUUUCAACCUUUACUGAGCUCAUCCACAGUCUGGCCUGGCACUGGAGACACAAGAGUUUCAAGAUCUGAUCUCCACCCGUGAGGUGCUGAGUGUGAAGACUUCCCCAGGUAUUUCUAUGUAGGUGUCCCUUCCUUGGUGUCCACCCAGACUUCCGUGAAAAUCCAAAGUCAUAUUUAACUACAUGUACUGUCAUGGUCCCUCAUCAAACUGCAAGCCCAGGUCGGACUCACUGCUGUGGUCUCAGCAGCAUGCAGCAGAGCUGGCCAGGCCCACAGAAGUGAUGGCUAAAAUGCUGACGGCGCUGUCCUGUCAGGUCCUGAGAGCCCUAUGUCCAAAAGGAGGCAGAGGCCUCUCAGGAUAUAACCUUCCCUGUCAGACCUCAACCCCAGCUGGGCAGUGACGACCUGCCAGGCAGGACAGAGAGCAUGGCACAUCUUAUCCACCAAGGAAAAGGCCUGUCUCUGGUUUGUGACCCUGACCCCAUCCCCCUGUGGAGACAGAUGUUGGGAACCUCUCCCUACCCCACAGGUGUUCAGAACAGGCUGCUACUGCCAAUUUCCCUCUUAUGCUGCUCCAGCCUCCUCCAACCUCCUUCCCAGCACAUUAAACUUUAUUUUCUUAAUGAAAUGUCACUUGCUGACUUCUGGCAGAAUCAUAAUAAAAAGAAACUGCCAUAAAGCCAUUUUAUGCCGACAGCGUCCCCCUACCCCCCGCUUGGCACCCUCCCCCCACCCCCAGCUUCGAGAGGAAGGCUCCAUAGCCUUUUUAUGUUCUCAGCUGCUGGAACAUCCCAAGCCAGUACUCAGAGGCAAGAUGGCACACACAGCUCCUUUCCAAGCCUCUGGCUCCUGUUCCAUGUAGCUUCGGGGAUAACAAGCAAGCUGCCGCUCCUGCUGCUGCUAUCCAGGGAAGGGACUCAGCUCCCAGGACCUCCAAGAUGACCUGGAGGACCCUUUAGUCACCAGGGGAGGCCUCUUGCUAUGACUCAACCCCAGCUAGAGUGGCGCAGUGUGCUGAGCUGCUGUCUCUAGGCAAACAAGGCUGGUCAGCGAUGCUCAGCAGAGUGGGUUCUGGGAGUGGAGGCAGUGUGAAAAAUCCCUUCCCUCCAAACGAAUACUUAGCAACAGAGAGGAUUAAGUGCAAAAAUGAUAAGCAAGUCUAAAUUUUAUAAAAAUGACCUCUCCCAUAAACUCAUUUCUUCCUGGGUCAUCAAGGAGAAGAAAAAAAAAAAAAUCAGUGUUAAUUUAAUCAAUUGAUUAGGCGAUCGAUUGAGAAACUGGAGAUGCCCGUUUACUGGGGGCACUAACGUCCUGGAACCCGAAACCACAAAAAAGGAGCCAUCAAUUUCCUCACCUGCUGCUUCUAACAAAACCUGAGCCCAGGGAGAAAGGAAAGUCUUGGGGCCCUUCAGAGGCCAUGCUCUUGGGGAGGGGCGGGGGGGAGAGACAGGGGCAGCAGUUUCCGGAGAGUUUUACACUGGAAUUAGUUACAGAUGCAGUUACGGUGUCUUGUGUAAACGCCAUCGAUUGGGGAGCUGACAGUCUGGGGAGCUGCGAUGCGGGACAAUCAAUCGGCCUGCAGUGUCACCUGCCACCUCGCUGAACAGUUGACAAUGCAAUUAUCCAGUGUGGAGGCAGGGAGUUGGCGUGUGUCAAACGCACUUAGCCACUUUCCGGGCCUCCUCAAUAACGCGUUUCACUGCCUCACGUCAGGAGAGACGCAGAGAGACAGACGCCGUUUAAAACCAUUGAUACUUGCUCCUUCUGCCUGCACUCCCUCUAUCCCAGCUUAACAAUUGUGUUCCAAAAGGCGAUUAAAUCCCCGUCAGUUGCCACAGGGGACAGAAGGUGCCUUGCUCCCUGCCACCUCUCCUCACCCCUCCCACCAAGCAACAGUUAGAACUAAAGGUGGUAGGAGCUAGAAAGCAGAAGCCCCAGCCCUCCCUGUCCCAAGACUGCCUCCAGCAGCUGGCUGCUCCAACAUCUGUCACUGACCGGACCACGCAGCACGGCUACACUGUGGAUGCUUUUAGUUACAGGGGUCCCUUCUUUUGGGAACUAACAUGCUAGAGGGGGCAGCAGCUAGGGGAAGGCCUAGUUCUGUGCCCUGGGACUCACGGUACCUCUCAGCUCCUGACCCAGGAUCUGGUGAUGUUUUAGCAGGCCACAGCUCAUUAAAAGAUCGGUGCCAGAGCUGUCCUCUCUGUGAGAUCUCAUCCCAGGCUACUGGGAACCAGCCUAAAUCCAAGAGAGGAACUUGAGAAAGAUGGAGUCACCAGGCCAGGAUCUGGGGAGGGCAGAGACCUGCACAGCUGGGCCUCUAAGUACUGUCAUUCUCCCUCCCUUCCACCUGUUUGAUUCAAAGGGGCUCACUGCUGGAUUCUAGCGAAGCAUUUCCUGUCAGGGCUCAGACACAGCCACAGCACCCUCUAGUUCCUGUGCAGUCUCCUGGGAGAUGUUUCCAUCUUCCACACUCCUGUGCCUUCCCCCAUCACUGUUACCUUAUCUGAAACCAACCAUUCCCAUGUCUUCUCUCUAGCCUGUCCAUUCCAGACAUGAUGGGCUCCAGGCUCCCCAAAUCCAGCUGAGUGAACUUUCAACAGCAACCAAUACAGGGGAAGGAUCAGAGCUCACCAUAAGUCUCUUUUUGAGGACCCAGGAGCUGGAGACAGGAAAUGUGGAGAGGUGUGGCUCACUCAUCACAUACCUCCCUUGCCUAUAGAAGGAGCAGGUUUUUGUCCCAAGGGGCUGUAUCAUUAGGUUCUCACUGAGGCCUGCUGCUUUAGCCCAGAAGCCCUUUGCUCUGCCCAAGGCUGGCAUGGUGCCCCAGAAGAGGAUCUUUUUCUAACUGCUAAGCUCUCUCAGGGGAAUGUUGGGGAAGCUCUAGGCUCCAUGCUACCCUUUAUGCAAUUCUAAUGCUGGGUGGGGGAAAGAGCAGUAGCAGACUAGCAACCCUAAGGUUCUGAGAGGACAUCAACAGCUCAGGCACACAGCCCAGGAUUUCUCUGAGAACUGGGAAGGCCACGGUAUUUCCUAGAUACUGAAAGUUUUAGGUCUUCCGACCUGUCUUGAAAUCUUUAUUUCCUUUAGCCUCUUAAAGAACUGUUUUUAGCUGGACCUACCUUGGUGCUUGCUGCCUGCUUACCUGUUCUGUCUUGUCUUUCAUUUUGUUCUAGAGUCCCAAUUCCAAGCACUCCUGGGUCCGAGCUACCUAGGCUUUGCCCUCGAUAGCCACAGAUCCGUCUUCAAGGCCUGUUCCCCUCAGCCAAGUGUCUCCACCAAAACUCUUGCUUGUUCCCUAGCUCCACAGCAGAUUACACUCAAGGUAACAGAUCUGCUCCAUCAGACCAGUUCCCAGUAGGCCUGGUGGGAAGCUUGCUGAGGAUGACGAAGGGGCCCUGGUCUGGGAGGAGGGAUAGGGGAUGAUCGGAUACAGGAACUUAUCUGCAAUUCUUCAAUUCUUUCAUAUCUAACAAGGACAGCAAUCUCUGUUCUGUCAGCACGCACAGCGCAGCUUAAAUGGGCCUCAGCACUCGCCCGCUCAUCCUGCCUCUGCUCCCUCUCUCUGAAGUCGGCUGGGCAGCUUCUUCAGCCGGCGUUAUCACUCCCUCUAACCGGUCUUGGCAGGCAAUCUAAUUCCUCCUGAAAAGGUCACCGCCAUUUUAACUGCCUUUCAAUCACAUUAAGCACGCGCUGCCCGGCUUGCGGCCCGGCCCGCCCGGCGGGCGAUCAAUGCGCUGCACUGACACCAGCCCGCCUGGCGGGGCCACACCCAACCCCCCAAGAGUUGGGGCCUACCGGUCCUGGCCAGGGAGGGUAGACUGACAGAUGGCCAGCUUCUGCAGCCGGGGUUUCAGGGGCAGAGGCAGUCAGGAUCAACCAGGGCCUCCUUUGAUGCCCCCCUCCCCCCCACCGAGGAGCCUCAGCCUCCUCUGCUCCACUGCGCCCCGCUCUCUGCCUCGUGGCCCCCGCUGAUCUUGCUGUAACACAGCCUUUCAAGUCUGCCUGUCUUUUGACUGCACUAAGCUGUUUAAGAGGCGGCAGCAGCUUCUAUCAGGCAAGCUGGAGCCAUUCUCUGCAGAUAAAGGCACCUCCGGCCCUGCUCCCUCUUCAAGCCUCACUCUCAUUCUCGCUCUCCAAACCGCUCAAAGAAAAGCCCCCUUUGAACUCCCCUCAGGAAUUCUUGAAAGGAACAACCUCACAGUGUAAACACUCAGGGAAAACUGACACCCGCCCAGGGCCUAAGAGCACCGCACACUGGCUCUGCAAGUGUGUCCCAGCGCAGGGGAAGGACCGUCAAAUCAGCAGGCCCCGUCUGCGGCUGUAGCCCCUGAAAGCCUGGUCUGGUGCCCAGAAGGCCAGGUCCAGUUCGGUGCCAAGAAACCUAAGAAGUUGCCACAGUGAUGGAAGAUGUAUCUGCAGCUGCCAACAGAGUGAACCCAGAGCUGCGUCCUGCAGCUGACCCUGAUGGGCCAACUGCCAGACACCUGUGUGUCCCAUUCCCAGGAUCCUGGGGUUUUUGCUGCUCAUCCUUCCAGGGCCUCAGACACUCUAGAGCUCCAGGACAGGACCAGAGUGACAUGGCAAAUGAACUUUCUCCAGCUCAGGGUGGGGCAACGGUUUAGGCUGAUUUACCAUCCUGCCUGAUACCUUCACUAUCCUGACUGACCCCAAAAGCUUGGGGAAUGAGAGAAACCCAGAGGCAUAAUGCCCGACCUGGACUUGGAGGCCCUUCAUGUGUCCAGUCUGCACUGCACGGCGCUAUGGAGACCACUCCCUGGGACCGGCCCAUGAAGCAUGGCCCUGACAAGACAGAGACCCUCUUCCUGGCUACUGUGAAGUUCCCCAGGGACCCACCAGUACUCCCACGGGUGUUGCCUGGAGAACUGGAGGCAGACAGGAAGCAGACUGGUUCACUCAAUGAUCGUGCUAACGCGGCUUGGCUGUCACCUUCAAUGCAUCACCCGAGGCUGAGAGCCCCCCUCGUCACUCCUAGCUUGCAGCCUCAAUUCCAUUUCCCCACCCAAAUACAUCCAUUUUAAUAUGCACAUCACAGGCAGGCAGCACGGUCACAAAGGAGCCCCGCCAGCAGCAGUUCCCACGUGGUGGAACGGAUGACCAGCCACCAGCCCUGGCCUCUCGGCUCCCAACAGAUGGAUACCCAGCAGAGGCCCGGCCACCAGAGCACCAGUGCUUUACAUGUCAGCCGCCUGUACC